AGUUGAUCCUGGCUCAGGAUGAACGCUAGCGGCAGGCUUAACACAUGCAAGUCGAGGGGCAACGCGAGUAGCAAUACUUGGCGGCGACCGGCGCAAGGGUGCGUAACGCGUGAGCAACAUGCCCGUAUCAGGGGGAUAAUCCAGGGAAACUUGGUCUAAUACCCCAUAGUAAUUUUGUAAGGCAUCUUAUAAGAUUUAAAGCUUUGGUGGAUACGGAUUGGCUCGCGUGACAUUAGCUGGAUGGUAAGGUAACGGCUUACCAUGGCUAUGAUGUCUAGGGGUUCUGAGAGGAAGGUCCCCCACACUGGAACUGAGACACGGUCCAGACUCCUACGGGAGGCAGCAGUGAGGAAUAUUGGACAAUGGAUGGAAAUCUGAUCCAGCCAUGCCGCGUGAAAAGGAAGAAGGUCCUAUGGAUUGUAAACUUCUUUUGUAUGGGAGCAAUAAGGCCUACGAGUAGGUUGAUGAGAGUACCAUACGAAUAAGCACCGGCUAACUCCGUGCCAGCCGCCGC
rnacentral:rRNA from 1 species